GUUCUUCCUUCAGGAACACAUAUACUAAAAUUGGAACAAUGCAGAGAAGAUUAGCCUGACCCCUGUGCAAGGAUGACACACAAAUUCAUGAAGCAUUCCAUAUUUUU
rnacentral:snRNA from 1 species